UGCACGCACAUUGUGCCUCCUAUGGUAUGAGC
rnacentral:piRNA from 1 species